GCUGAUAAUGGAACUCUCUUGAAAGGGUCUAUAUUGUGUCUGGGGACAUCUGCUGGGGCACCCACCCACUGACUGUCUAGGCUUCUCACAGGGGCAAGUGGGCUUCCUUCACCCCUGGCUACCCCGACUGCCUUUACUCACCCUCCUGACCUCCCAGCUCCUCACAGCCUAAGGGCUUCUUAUGGAUGGCCUUGGCUGGGCGGGGCCCGUUGAUGUCUGGGCAACGUACAUGGGUGGAGUUGGUCAGCGGGCAUGACCACAGCAGACUGGAUAGGCGGUGCGGAAGGAGGAGCUUAAUUACAUCUUGCAUGAACUUCCUGCAGACAGGGCGGAUCUCUUUGCUGAGGGUGGCGCUGAACAUCAUGACUUGCUUCUCGUGGGGAGUCAUGCG